AAAGUUCAGUCCCCUCUCUUAUGUCCUCCCACGAAACCAAAGCAUUCACCACUAAAGAGAGAGAAAGCACUUACCAAUCGAGGAAGACGAACAUAGAUACCUCCGCCGGUUACCGCGUCGCCGUCUGCUACCGAGGUUGCUGCAAGGGUGUGGAAUGUUGCAAACCAGGCAUACUGAAGAGAAAGAACCAUCAUCUUCUGGGAGGACAGCUGAGCCACUGAACCAUCAACCUCAAGCUUUUGAAGCACCAAUUGCUGGAAAAUGUACAUUCUGUUUUACUUCUUGAAGUUUCACAGG